rnacentral:rRNA from 1 species
CACGUAGGCACCAAGCGUUGUCCGGAUUCAUUGGGCGUAAAGGGUGCGUAGGCGGCGCGGUAAGUCGGGUGUGAAAUCUCGGGGCUUAACUCCGAAACUGCAUUCGAUACUGCCGUGCUUGAGGACUGGAGAGGAGACUGGAAUUUACGGUGUAGCGGUGAAAUGCGUAGAUAUCGUAAGGAAGACCAGUGGCGAAGGCGGGUCUCUGGACAGUUCCUGACGCUGAGGCACGAAGGUCAGGGGAGCAAACGGG